rnacentral:rRNA from 1 species
GGGAAACCCAGUGUGACUCGUCACACUAUCAUUAACUGAAUCCAUAGGUUAAUGAGGCGAACCGGGGGAACUGAAACAUCUAAGUACCCCGAGGAAAAGAAAUCAACCGAGAUUCCCCCAGUAGCGGCGAGCGAACGGGGAGGAGCCCAGAGCCUGAAUCAGCAUGUGUGUUAGUGGAAGCGUCUGGAAAGGCGCGCGAUACAGGGUGACAGCCCCGUACACAAAAGCGCAUGUGCUGUGAGCUCGAUGAGUAGGGCGGGACACGUGGUAUCCUGUCUGAAUAUGGGGGGACCAUCCUCCAAGGCUAAAUACUCCUGACUGACCGAUAGUGAACCAGUACCGUGAGGGAAAGGCGAAAAGAACCCCGGCGAGGGGAGUGAAAAAGAACCUGAAACCGU